rnacentral:rRNA from 1 species
GUGGGGAAUCUUCCACAAUGGACGAAAGUCUGAUGGAGCAACGCCGCGUGAGUGAAGAAGGGUUUCGGCUCGUAAAGCUCUGUUGUCGGGGACGAAUGUGCAGUAUUUGAAUAAAGUACUGUAAUGACGGUACCUGACGAGGAAGCCACGGCUAACUACGUGCCAGCAGCCGCGGUAAUACGUAGGUGGCAAGCGUUGUCCGGAAUUAUUGGGCGUAAAGGGAGCGCAGGCGGGAAGGUAAGUCGGUCUUAAAAGUGCGGGGCUCAACCCCGUGAUUGGAUCGAAACUAUCUUUCUUGAGUGCAGGAGAGGAAAGUGGAAUUCCUAGUGUAGCGGUGAAAUGCGUAGAUAUUAGGAGGAACACCAGUGGCGAAGGCGACUUUCUGGACUGUAACUGACGCUGAGGCUCGAAAGCCAGGGGAGCGAACGGGAUUAGAUACCCUGGUAGUCC